GUGCUCACUUUGGCAGCAUAUAUACUAAAAACUGGAAUGAUACAGAGCAGAUUAGCAUGGCCCCUGUGCAAGGAUGACAUGCAAAUUUUUGUGAAGCAAUUAAAUUUA
ensembl:snRNA U6 U6 spliceosomal RNA